UGUUUUAGAGAGAAGGAGGAAGGGGAAGAGCUUCACUUUAAUCAAAAGUCUAAAAUCUAACAAAUUGAAGAGGCAAAUCAACACAAAUCUUAUGCAUGAACAUUGAUUUAGAAUCAUCUAUGCUUGUCUAACAAGAGGCGUGAAGGAGGAAAGUUUAAGCGGCCGGAAACCUCAAGCCUCACAAGACGGAGGUAAAGCCGUACUCUAACGGCAUGCUACGCUUGGAACAAACACACUCCAUGAUGCCCUUUACGCGCUUCCGGUUUAUGUUUAGUGUCAAUGGGUCAGACUACUUUUAGAUUGUAAACGUCGUUUUAAAUGUUUGACUUUUGUAAGUAAGAUUAAAGUUUAUACUUUAAAUAUGUUAGAUUUGGGUCAAAAUUUAUAUUAAAUUAUUAAAGUUCAAAAUUUUAGAGUUUUA